UACAGAGGGUGCGAGCGUUAAUCGGAGUUACUGGGCGUAAAGGGCGCGUAGGCGGUGAUAUGAGUGUGAUGUGAAAGCCCCGGGCUUAACCUGGGAAGGGCAUCGCAAACGAUAUGACUAGAGUAUAUGAGAGGGUGGCGGAAUUUCCGGUGUAGCGGUGAAAUGCGUAGAGAUCGGAAGGAACGUCAAUGGCGAAGGCAGCCACCUGGCAUAAUACUGACGCUGAGGCGCGAAAGCGUGGGGAGCGAACAGG
rnacentral:rRNA from 1 species